rnacentral:rRNA from 1 species
CCUACGGGUGGCAGCAGUAGGGAAUCUUCGGCAAUGUACGGAAGUCUGACCGAGCAACGCCGCGUGAGUGAAGACGGUUUUCGGAUCGUAAAGCUCUGUUGUAAGAGAAGAACGAGUGUGAGAGUGGAAAGUUCACACUGUGACGGUAACUUACCAGAAAGGGAAGGCUAACUACGUGCAAGCAGCCGCGGUAAUACGUAGGUCACGAGCGUGAUCCGGAUUUAUUGGGCGUAAAGCGAGCGCAGGCGGUUAGAUAAGUCUGAAGUUAAAGGCUGUGGCUUAACCAUAGUACGCUUUGUAAACUGUUUAAUUUGAGUGCAGAAGGGGAGAGUGGAAUUCCAUGUGUAGCGGUGAAAUGCGUAGAUAUAUGGAGGAACACCGGUGGCGAAGGCGGCUCUCUGGUCUGUAACUGACGCUGAGGCUCGAAAGCGUGGGGAGCAAACAGGAUUAGAUACCCGGGUAGUC